rnacentral:ncRNA from 1 species
UUGAGCCGUAUGCCGGGAAACUGGCACGUACGGUUCUUAGGGGGCGGCUGCACAGUAAUGUGCAGCUGCUACCCGAC